GGUCCCUUAGUUCAACGGAUAGAAUAGAAGUUUCCUAAACUUUNNCUUUAGAUCCAGGUUCGAUUCCUGGAGGGACUA
rnacentral:tRNA from 1 species